GAUGAACGCUGGCGGCGUGCCUAAUACAUGCAAGUCGAGCGAACAGACGAGGAGCUUGCUCCCCUGACGUUAGCGGCGGACGGGUGAGUAACACGUGGAUAACCUACCUAUAAGACUGGGAUAACUUCGGGAAACCGGAGCUAAUACCGGAUAAUAUAUUGAACCGCAUGGUUCAAUAGUGAAAGACGGUUUUGCUGUCACUUAUAGAUGGAUCCGCGCCGCAUUAGCUAGUUGGUAAGGUAACGGCUUACCAAGGCAACGAUGCGUAGCCGACCUGAGAGGGGGGUCGGCCACACUGGAACUGAGACACGGUCCAGACUCCUACGGGAGGCAGCAGUAGGGAAUCUGCCGCAAUGGGCGAAAGCAUGACGGAGCAACGCCGCGUGAGUGAUGAAGGUCUUCGGAUCGUAAAACUCUGUUAUUAGGGAAGAACAAAUGUGUAAGUAACUAUGCACGUCUUGACGGUACCUAAUCAGAAAGCCACGGCUAACUACGUG
rnacentral:rRNA from 1 species